AUCAGUGACACUGACGAUGGAAUCAAGUGCACCCUCAGAAAGUUUGCUGAUGACACCAAGCUAAGUGGUGUGGUCGACACAGUGGAAGGAAGGAAGGGAUGCCAUUCAGAGGGACCUCAACAGGCUUGAAAGGUGGGCCCAGGUGAACUUGAUGAGGUUCAAUGCGGCAAAGUGCAGAGUUCUGCACUUGGGCUGGAGGAAUCCCAGGCAUCCAUACAGACUGGAAGAAGCAGUCCUUGAGAGCAGCCCUCCAGAGAAGGACCUGGGGGUCCUGACGAAAAACUUAACAUGAGCCAGCAGUGUGCUCUUGCAGCUUGGAAAGCAAACGGUAUCCUGGGCUCCAUCAGAAAAAGAGUGGCCAGCAGGGACAGGGAGGUGAUUUUCCCCCUCUACUCUGCUUUUGUGAGGCCCCAUCUGCAGUACUGUGCCCAAGUCUGAAGCCCCCAGGACAUGAAAGACAGAGAGCUGUUGGAGAGGGUCCAGAGGAGAGCUACAAAGAUUAUCAGAGGGCUGCAGCACCUCCCCUACAAAGACAGGCUGAGGGAGCUGGGCUUGUUCAGCCUGGAGAAAAGAAGGCUGCAGGGUGACCUCAUUGCAGCCUUUCAGGACCUAAAGGGAGCCUACAAACAGGAAGGGAAUCAACUCUUUGAAAGGGUAGAUAACAGCAGGACAAGGGGAAAUGGUUUUAAGUUGAAGGAGGGAAGAUUCAGGUCAGAUGCCAGGGGGAAGUUCUUUACAGAAAAAGUGGUGAGGUGCUGGAACAGCUGCCCAGAGAGGCUGUGGAUAACCCGUUCAUCCCUGGAGGUGCUCAGAUGGACGGGGCCCUGGGCAGCCUGGUCUAGUAUUACAUGUGGAGGUUAGCAGCCCUGCAUGUGGCAGGGAAGUUGGAGAUUCAUGAUCCUUGAGGUCCCUUCCAACCCAAGCCACUCUGUGAUUCUGUGAUCCGUUCCUCCUCAUGGAUUUCAGAAAGUGCUGUAAGUAUUGGGUCAAAGACCCCUUGGUGCCUGUGGUCAACUUCCCUUGGCAAAGCUGCCUUCACCUAAAUUAUGGUGUAGUAUCCCAUUCAUCUUACCAUUGGUUUGUGUCCAAGACCCAGUAAUGGUGAUGCAAGAGCUGCUCUUCAAAGCCAUUUCUUCUCACUUGACCCAAAGCAUGUCCUGGUUGAGGAACCAGGCGACUCCCAUCAGUGUCAAGAAGGGGAUUAGGCACACACAUGGGGCUUGCUGGAGAACUGCCCCAGAGAAAAGGAUGCCAACAUGAUGGGACCUUGAGCACCCCACCUAACGGGAAACAUUCCCCACUCUCCUCUCAAGCUGUGAAUUUAACAGUACAGGCCCUCAGUGUCAGCAUCUACGAGCUGUCUUGGAGAUCCUUCCAUGCCUACUCCAAACAGCGAUGUUAUCAACUUCAGUAACACUCUGUGCCAAUUUCCAAAUAUAGAUCACACAAUGUGUGAUGAGACAGAUGUGUCUCGAAAUUCCCAUUCUCACACUUCUCUCUCUCCAGCCAGCAUGAGAACACAGCCUUGCUGUCUGCCCUUGGGUGUCACUUCAUCCAGGACUUUACUGUCACCUCGCUGCCUCACUCACGCUGUGGGAAGGAGAGGACCUAGAGAUCCCCUUUGGCCAACAUGAGGAGAGCUUUCAGCUGGCAAGCAGGGAGUACAGGCACUGCACCACACAGGAGUUCAGCACUAAGCCUCACCAGCAAGCAGAGGAAGGGUUGAAAAGUGCACCUUAAUCUGCAGAAGAAAGGAAACACCUGAACCAUUCACCAGCAGGGACUCUGGUGAGGACUGGACUCACAACUGCACUUUUGAGCAAGCAGAGAUAGGAAAGGAACAACGGGAGGCCAAAGGAUUCAGGUCAGUUCAAAGUUUUGCGCACCUGUUGCUGUAGGUCACAGCUGCUGAGAAUAGGGCAAACCACAGGGAAAAGAAGAUCGUAAAAUGUAAGAUGCAGUUAAAAAACUGUUUUGGAAUGUUUUACUAUUCCUAAUUCAGUACUUCUAAAAGCCAGCGUGUUCUUUUCUCCCCAUGAAGUCCCCACGUGGUUCUAGAGCUCAGCUGGGAUACUUGUACUGAGCUCUUGUGGGAUAAGUGCACAGGGAAGUGCAGACAAACUUUGGUACAUCUUUAGCUUUAGUGGGAAUGCUUUUAGAGCCUAUGUUCAGCUUUACGACCUUCCAGGACUAUCCUCCCAGUUCAGUGUCACCCCUGCUCCACGUAGGCCUGCUUUCUGCACUUCCUUAAGCCAUUCGUAGCAAGCAGGUCAGACAAUGAGAAAUGGAAACAGCCUGACAGCUAAUGUGAUUUGUGUAAUGGGAUGAAACAGCCUCCAGUAUCCAUCCUCAGGGAUUACAGGAGGAAGGCUGCCCUUUAUCCCCCUCUGUUUGAGUUUCAGCAACAAAAAUUUUGGAUGAAGCUUUGUCAGCAAAUGUGCCUCGGCACCGAUUCCCACUUCAAAGUAUUUGCCAAGAAAAUGUUCCCUGCUCUCCUGAAAGGUCAACAUCAGGGAUGGAUAACAAGAUGUCUCUACACCCAGGAGGAAUCUGGCCAUCUUUUCCAAAUUUGCAGAAACCAGUUUCGGGGUCCCUGCACUUUCUUCAGGUCCAGAUCACAGCCACACAAAGAGAACUCUAGAUAUCAUGCUCACAGUGGACCACUGCAUCCCACGCUGCUACUGCUAGCACAGGUGUACCCGGAAAGCACUGAUCUGCGUCCCCAGAUGUGUUAUGCUAACAGCUUUUGACUACACACAUUGCUACAUGCUAGAUCUGUAUUUAAAGCUCAAGUGGGAAGCAAGCUCACAGGGUUUUACCCUGAAUGCCCAUCGUAUUGGCCAGAGGUUAGCAGACCAACUAAGUGUUACAAUUGGUAAUGCCUGAAUUUCAGUAGUGUUGCUACCCACAGAUUGCAGGUUUCUUAGAAAGUUUAUGUUAGUAAGCAGAGACAUUUAAUUUACUACUGUCUAUAGCUUAACAUUUGAUAAUAAAAUAUAAAUUAAAGAGAAA